UUUAUCGGUUUAAAAUUUAAUAAGAGGAAAAUUUAAAAUUAUCAAUUCAUCCUCUCUCUUGGUUAGCCGCUGGGAUAUAAGCUUAGGUCUAACAACCUAAUUCAUAUUGAACAAGUUUCAACAAGGGGAACAAAAACUAAUUACCUAUACGCGGGGAAGUAAGUGUUUUUUUUUUCAGCAGGUGCCAGAGACCCUUAAACGCUCAUGUAGCGUAGUGGGGAUUGAAGAAAAUACAGCCGCGGUGUCACUCGACAUCUACCUGAAGCGCUCAUGUGGUGUGGAGGGGAAGGCUGUCUCUUGGUUUUUCCCCUAAACAGGGGAGACGUCGGGCAGCUGCCGAAUUCAGAAAAAAUACAUGGGACUUGGACUGAGUUGAUUUUGAACUUACAUGAACUACAAGGACUUGAUUUGAAUUUGCAAUUUGGACCACAGAGAAUCAAACCUUAAUUAACAAAAAAAUGUACUCAUGCAAAUGUUAAUCAAAGAUUGAGAUCUUUUUAAUGAACAUCAAAUGAGACGAACAAGUAACAAUGAACCCCAGGAGACUACAAAUGAACCUGAACUCAAGUUGGAUCAUAGAAGGCUGAAUGAACUUCAACAUGAUUCAAAGAAUUUGAACUCAACAAGAUCACCUUGAACUGAGCAUUAGGUGAACUGAACUCGAAUUGAACUUGGACUCAAACAAAUGAGCAUAGGGAAUCAAGCUUAACUUGAAAUGAAUUUAUAUAAUAAUGAAUUGGGCCUUAAGUUUACAAUUGUACAGUAAAUUGAAAGUACAAAAUGCUAAGUUAUAAUUCGAUCCAUUCUAGUGGAAGUUAAUAUGUAGAUAAAGGUUGUGGACAACUUCAAUGAACAAGUGAAAUACUUGUAGUGGACAAUAUUCCAAAAAUAAUUUAUAUUGAAACAUGGAACUCGUGGCAGGAGGUCUUCAUAUAUAAGUGACAUAUAAGUGAAUAUUUUAGUUCCUUACAAAUAUUGAAAACUAAUGAGAAUGAGCGGACAUAGAACUCAUGAUGAACAAGAAUUCAAGCAUCAUUUGAUUUCAAGCAAUCAUCAAUAAAAAUCAAGGACAUGUGAUCUACUUGCAAGCAUUGAUCCGCAGAAACCAAAGAGAAUGCAACAAUAUAAGUGUAGAUGAUCAUACAAAUUUUCCAACAAAUGAAUAAUGUGAGACUCAUAGUGCUCAAGUCAAUCAAUCUAUAAGUAAGGAAAAGGAACCUAUAACACAAUUAUCAAUCCCGAAGGUGAAAAUCAAGGACUUGUGAUAAUAUUAACCAUGAUCUUACAAACAGAUGAAAGAAAGAUGUGGACAUGAUAUCAGGCAUACCACUGAUGUUGGUCAACUUGUGGAAGAUAUGUAUGUCACAUAUACAUGUGAAAAGGAACAUUUAAGGAAUGUGAAAGGUGCCCUCGUAGCCGACACCAAUCAGGAAUCUAUUAAAUGCAUGAGUUCCUUAUAGAUGAAGGAAAAGUGGCAUGCAACGAACAGUCUCCCUGUACAAAGCGACAAAUAACUCAAUCCACAAGUUGCUACAACACGCCACCGGAUCCGCAACAUCCAUGCAAGUGGACAGAAGGCGUUUACAAAUAUUCCAAAAAUGCCCCUUGGACAUGAACUAUAAUAUGUAUACACUUGGGUACAGAAAAGGCAUGUGCAAUCACACAACCCGUAUGGGCUCCGACAAGCAUGUUGUUGGAACACGCGUGAUGUUUAGGGAUGCUGCGCAGGUUAAUAAAUUUGAACCCGAUCCUUCUAUGCAUCUAAAUAGGAGUCAAUAAGGUUCAACAAAUAAUUAUAAAAUGCCCCCAAAUACCCACAUGGCCCCCGACGAGCGUGUUAUUGGUACACAAAUCAUGUUUAAGGAUGCUACACGGGUCCAUAAAUGAACGUAAUUCGAGUCCAAUCCUUCUAUAGGGAUAGAUAGGAGUCGGAACGGCUCGGAUUAUCAAACAGAUAUACGGUUAGGGUGUCGAUCGGAAUAUUUAUUUAAUACGUUCAUAUAAGGCCUUCAAAGCCUACAAUAAAGAAAAUUCAUUAACAAAAUCGUAAAGCCAGCAACGAGCCUCUGUCAACAGCUUGACAGAGUUGACGAGGUUUAAGCCACAAAUAGAAAUGACCCCCAAACACUCCGAUGAUGGCCGUGUUGAACGUAGAUCUCAACCGAAGGGAUUAAUUCCAAAUAUUUAAAUGCUUUCCAAGUUCCACCCAAAUGCUUACCAAAAUUUAAAAUAUCCAAAAAUCAUAAAAUUCCAAAUGUUUAAAAUCGAAAUUCAACCAUCAAUCACUUAAAACAAAAUCCAUCCACCCUCCGUAAUAGUUUGUAGAGGUAAACAAAUUGAAAUGUACUUUAGCUCACAAAGAGUUAAUAUUUGGUCGAGAAUAUCACUAGGACCUAUUCUCAAACAAUCUCCUACUAGUAAUGACAUGGUACAUAUCCUCUAACUGGUAGUCUCGCCACCAAAUGGCAUCACAGGUAAACAUUUAUGACUCGGGGCCCUUUGAAUUAAGUGGUUUUGUCGUUAAAUGACACCACUAAAUUAUGGUUAUGUUCAGAGCCAAUACGUUCUUUAGUGACAUCAAAACCUUGAGAUAUGAAUCAAUAUGAUAUAGUUGAUAGGGCACAAAGCUCUCUGUUAGCUAAGGUAGAUUCAAAUUUGUCCCCUUAGACAAAUAUCCACCGCAGAUCUACAAGGUACUCUGUAACGAAGCAACCCAUGGCUGUCGACAAGGUUCCUUUUAUUAGGUUGGGUCGACUACCUUCUCUGACUAAGUAUACCAGGGACCACGAUGGCCCGGGACGACGGAGCCAUGAAAUCUUGAUCGUGUCCAUUAUCAAUUCCCCCAUCAUCCGCUUUAAGUGCAAGAUGGUGAAAUUUUCAAUUUUAAAUAUUAACCCUUCCAAUUCCAAAUUCCCAUUGCUGUUACUAUAUGACAGAUAACAUGUGUUCCUACGUAUCUGAUUGAUGACUAACCCUAAUAGAAAGUUCUCUCUCGUUACCGGGAGUGGUAAUUAACUAUAAGGGGUUUUGCGCCUAUAGGAAACCAGAACUCAGAUCAUAAAGUCCUCGCAAAAUGAGGGCGAAAUCUCUGGGUAGCGUCUUAUCUACUUCAAACCCGUCUACCUUCCAAAAUUUAUCCCGAAAGUUAAUUCAUUAAAACUCUCCCGAAAAAGCAACGGGGGAGGAUGUGGCCGAAUUUUUAGAGCUCACAGACUCAUGAUUGAUUGUCCAGUUGUUUGAAGAAUUACGCUCAACUUUAUCCCUUGGGAGGGGGGGGGGUAUGCAGGCAAUCAUCUGGGUGCAAUCAUUUUGAUAUUGGAGCCUGAUUUAUCAUCUUCCACUUUAUGAGUUUAAAGAUGAGGUGGAGAUUGUUGAUUUAAAAUUAUUUCCAAAUUGAAAUAAGCUUUUAUUUGGAAAGCUUUUAAUGGCUCAUUAUUGUAAUUGAUCAGGUAAUUAAUUAUUUUCAUAACUAAGUUGAUUUGAUUUGAGAUACAAUUUGAUAUUCAAUUGGAGAUUUGAUUGAUGCAUUAAUUAUGGGAUCUAUUUAUUGCAUUAAUUAGGAAUUUGAUUGAGAUUUGAUUAGAAAUAGAUUAUGAAAUUUUUUCAUAAUUUAUUUUGGCUCAAAUCUAUAAAUUGAGCCAUGAGGGUUGCUGUUGUAUGAGUGGAGGGUUGCUGUUGUAUGAGUGGAGGGAGAGAAGAGCUCAUUGUAAUUCCCUUAAUCAUCAUCCCCUCUCCGUGGACACAAGCAUCUUCGCCGAACCACGUAAAUCAUCGUGUUUAUUAUGUUUGUGUUGUGUGAUUUCUGUGAUUUUAUUUUUGCUGUGUUUGUUUGCAUAACACCUAACAACAGGAAUGAGCAAUAGAAAAUUCUUUGUAUAUAUAUCCCUGUAGGUAGCCUCCCUUUCUACAUAUUACCUACUUUAUAUUUCACCUGUUACCUUCCAUUCCUUCACUAGAAGUGCUGUAACCAACUAAAACUUAAAAAAAAAAUACAGAAUAACAGUAAAGGUAAAAAGCUGCAUAUUAAGAUAAACGGUGUGUGGAAUUGUUACAGUGAUGGUGAGAUGUACACCACAUCACUACACCUCACCAUAUCUUGUUAUGCAUCUUGAUCCACAUCACGAAGGGGAAUGCACCUUUCAAGUAUGUGUAUACUCCUUAAGGAAGAAGAAGGGGUAGAAAAGAGAAUAAAGAGGAAAAAAUCAGAAAUAUUUUCAUUCAAUGCCUAUUUCUUACAACAAGUGUAUUUAUAAUAUUUGGGUAGACCAAAUUCACAAUAUAUAACUAGUUUACCGAACCAAACUUAAAAGAAAGAUUAGACUAGCACUUUAUUACAUAUGUGGACCCAUUUGUCAUUUAUGCUUAUGGAAUGUAUUUGUCUUCUUCUUUGGUAAGCUUCCUAGUUGUUGGUUGUCCCACCAUAUUUGUAGCCCAUGCUUCGCAUCUGAUUUUUGGAUCCAAUCCCAUAUGCUGAUGUCUAACACUCUCAAUGCCAUUUAAAAUAACCUUGUCCUCAAUGUUGAGAGAAGGAAAAGGUGAAGAGGGGGAGAAAUUCAGAGUGGCUGUCAUGAAUAGUUUGAUGAACAUUUCUUUAUUACUUAUUGAGAGAGAACGAAAUUGAUGUUUGAAAAAAAACUCUAUGUAAUUCAUCAAAAAAUUCAUGUAAUAUUGGAAUUGGAAAUUUAUCUUUAAUGGUGAGCAUAUUAAGGGCUUUAGAAUUGAUGAAAAAAUUUCAAGUACCAUCCAGUUUAUGAAGAAGCAAUAUUGGAAUAGAAAAAGAGUUGGGAUUAUGAAUAACAUCCUUAUGAAAAUGUGGAGAAUUGUAAUGACGGAUGUUAACUAGUUGAUAUAAGGAUAGAAGAUAAAUAUGAUAGUAAAUGGUCGUUGAAGGUGAUGGUUAUGGAAAAGGGAUUCAUUCGGAGGAACCAAGGAUGCCGGCAGAAGAAGACGAAGGAUCUUGAGGGAGUCGAGGUGGGAGGUCAAUGCACAAACUAUCAAGUUUUUUAUCAAUAGAAUGCUGAAAGUAUGGACAUGUUGAAGUGAUGAGCCAAUGGAGACAAUUUGAACAUUCAUUUGCUGCAGGGAUUUUUGUAUUUCUGAGAAAAGUAAAUUUUGAUUGGUUUGUAAGGUUUGGAUAGUUUUUGCUAAAUCAGCGUUUUUUAUGAUGGGUUAUGGUGUGGGAAAAGAAAAACAAGAAGUGGUCCUUGAUAACAAUGGCUGGUAUAAGGAGAUGCAGUUAGCAGUGCUGCUGUCAGUGAAAAUAAAUUUUUGAUGCAACAGAUUUUGGACUGGAUGUGGCUGCUGGCAGGUUCUUGCGGCUGAAUUCUGCGGAGGGCUGCAGUUGACGGAUGACCUGUAGAGUGGAGGACAACAGGUAGCUGCUGUUGCUGAUGGAGGACCUGCUUGUCUUGAAUCUGUAAUAAUCUGAAAAUUCAGGUAAUAAUCAAUUUAAUUAAUAUUUUAAAUUCCUGUUACGAAAACUAUAUAACUAUUUUAAAAAUUAGGAUAAUUACUCCUUAAUUUCCCAAAAAACGUUUUAUAUGGCUGAAAAAUUGAUGGCAGUUACUUUGUGGGCCCAUUUUAUCCUUAUCUUGGUUGGAAUACACGCAAGCAACAAAAAUUUCCCUUCUCUGUUUAUAGUUUUCACGUAAGCCAUCAGAUGGAACCUGUAAGGAGUUUCGGCACAUAGCGUUUGGCUUAGUGCUUCCUGCAUUGCUACUGUAUUCGAUCAGAGAAAGAGUUCUGCGGCAAAAAUGCUGAAGGGAAAUGGUUGGGUUGAUAGUGCAAGAGGAUUUCAACGCUAUUGACCGGAAGAGAAGUCAGUGAAAGUAGUGUAAUUCGGAUUUCUGUGCAGUGAAGUGCUUGUGGAGAAGAUAUUGUUAGGUAAGAAUUCUAAAUUUUCCUAUCUUUUAUACUAGUUCAAUUCAGUAAAGUUCUUAUGCAAAUCAUAAUUUAGGGUGAUAUAGAUUAUAUAGUCUUAUCCAAAGAGGAGGCUUUGGAGUGAUUUAUAAUAGAAGAAAAGUAAGAAGUGAAGGUUUGGAAGAAGCAAACCUUCAAUAAGGAAAAUGGAAAGAAAAAGUGGAGGAAGAUAGAUAAGUAAGUAUUUAAGUUUUAUGUCAAUGUUUAUUUAAAUUUUGAAAUCUACUCUUGAGCUCUUGAAUGUUCAUUAAAAGUAAUUUGUGUUAAUCUGGUUGCAGCUCUUGAAUGUUCGUUAAGGUCGAUAUCAAUAUUCACUCAGCGUAUACUCAUCAAUCUUGUAUCUGAAGUUGCCACAAAACUUCAAGAUAUUGUUACGUGGUGUAGAAGUUGAGCCUCACCACAUUGUUUUUGAUAUUAACAAGAUGAGAAAUUUCAGUUGUUUUGUUAUAACACGCAUGCUUGUUUUGUUAUACUGACGCUUCUUUCCGUCCCAUCUUUCCACUACUAGGCACCCUUUUUCAGAUUCAGUAAAACAGGAUGCCUCUUCUGAUGGCUUGUAUGAAAGUAACAUACAUUCUGGGGUUUCAAAUGGUGUUGUACUUUCCGCUUCCAUUGUGCUUGCCCAAAAAAAUUUGCGAUAUUAUCUGCUCUUUGAAUGAGGCUUCUGUUGACCUUGCGGAUGAGACUUUUUUUGCAAUUCCAUUUGCAGGAGGAAAGAAAGUCAAAGCUGACCGGGAUGAAUCAUCACCAUAUGCAGAUAUGCUUGCAGCAAAUGAUGCUGCACAACGAUGCAAGGAACUUGGUAUUUCUGCUUUGCAUAUUAUGAUCAGGGCCACCGAGGGGAAUAAAACCAAAACUCCAUGUCCUGGUGCUCAAUCUGCUCUUAGGGCUACUACACACUCUGGAAUGAAAAUUGGGCGCAUUUGUAAGUUGUAUUGUUAAAUUUACUUAUUACAUUCAUGGUGGAUGCGUUUGUUCUGGAGGAAUUAAAGCCUUAAAGAAAUAUUUUUUGCCUUAUAGUUCCCAUCUUACAUGUAUAGGUCAUAAGAAAUUAUUGUAAUACUCACAUAUUCCUAUCUUUUUACAUUUCUCUGUUUAAAGCCAUUGAAAAGCAAAAGCUGAAGUAGAAUUGAAUUUU